UGUAAUAUAUCACUGGACCGAAAGCCAAAGUCAUUAUACUGCCCAUAGUGACAAGCGCUAGGCCUCCUUUACUACGCUUGAUGCUAGCCCAGAGAGACAUUCAACCAGGACCACCCUGUAGAACCGUGAUCUACUAAACUGUUUUUUAUGGAAUGCACGAGGCUGGCUUACUCAAAGCGGAGGUAUGGCUACAAUCAAUUCAAGCGGUAGCUUUUAGAGGCGCGAUGUGUGCGUUAAGUUUUGGGCUCAAGCAGAUCAGUAGUAACGCUACUGGCAUUCGUAAAUGUUUUAUUUCCGUGCCUACACGUGGGCUUCUCUGGCCACUUUGUACUGGUGUUUGCAUAGUUCGGUUUGGUCGUACAGCUCUGCCAAGCGUGUACGCGGCCAAGUGAUGCGGAAGGCAUGCGCUGGUGCAUCACACCGCUCUGAACGGACACACCGAGCUCCAUCGUACGGGUAGAUAUCAAACUGCCCGUGAGCCUAGGCAGGGCUUGGAUGUGCAGCAGCUGAUAAAGCUAACCUGGUCAUGACCAUGCACCAGCAUCUCCAGGGCACGGGAGGAUGACAUCCCCACGGCUUUCGUCAAUACGGGAUGAAGGAAUAGGAGCAAAA
rnacentral:lncRNA from 1 species